GGGAUUAGAUACCCCACUAUGCCUGGCCCUAAAUCUUGAUGCUUACACCUACUAAAGCAUCCGCCCGAGAACUACGAGCACCAACGCUUAAAACUCUAAGGACUUGGCGGUGCCCUAAACCCACCUAGAGGAGCCUGUUCUGUAAUCGAUGAUCCACGAUAUACCUAACCAUUCCUUGCCAAAACAGCCUACAUACCGCCGUCGCCAGUCCACCUCCCCUGAAAGCCCAACAGUGGACGCAAUAGCCCAACCACGCUAAUAAGACAGGUCAAGGUAUAGCCUAUGGAAUGGGAAGCAAUGGGCUACAUUUUCUAAGAUAGAACAUACGGCAUAAGGGGUAUGAAAUAACCCCUAGAAGGCGGAUUUAGCAGUAAAGUGGGACAAUCGAGCCCUCUUUAAGCUGGCCCUGGGGCACGUACAUACCGCCCGUCACCCUCCUCA
rnacentral:rRNA from 1 species